rnacentral:tRNA from 4 species
GUCCCCGUAGUUCAAUGGAUAGAACAAGAGACUCCUAAGCUUUAGAUGGAGGUUCGAUUCCUCCCGGGGACACAA